rnacentral:rRNA from 1 species
GACGAACGCUGGCGGCGUGGAUUAGGCAUGCAAGUCGAACGGUAGGAUACCUUCGGGUAUCUGAGAGUGGCGAACGGGUGAGUAACACGUAGGUGAUCUACCCUCAAGAUUGGGACAACCCAGGGAAACUUGGGCUAAUACCGGAUGAAAGCAGCAGUGAUGUUGUUUGAAAGGUGGCGUAAGCUGCCGUUUGGGGAUGAGCCUGCGCUCUAUUAGUUAGUUGGCGGGGUAAAGGCCCACCAAGGCGAUGAUAGAUAGGCGGCCUUAACGGGUGGUCGCCCACACUGGGAUUGAGAUACGGCCCAGACUCCUACGGGAGGCAGCAGUCGAGAAUAGUCUACAAUGGCCGAAAGGCUGAUAGUGCGACGCCGCGUGAACGAAGAAGCCCUUCGGGGUGUAAAGUUCUUUUAUAUGUGAGUAGUGCUUUCUAUGUGAACAGCAUGGGGAGAGAGAUAUUAGCAUAUGAAUAAGCAACGGCUAACUCCGUGCCAGCAGCCG